ensembl:lncRNA
GCUCUUUCUCCAGCACCAUGUCUGCCUGCACGCUGCCUACCAUGAUGAUAACGGACUAAUCCUCUGAACUUGAAUUGUACAGACACAUGGAUGGCUACAGGCGGGGAAACAGUUUACCAAAGGAGAGAAACAGAGAACUCCAGAGUCCACCAGACCCAGGCUGAGGCCCAGCUCCAAAAGGGACCAGAGGACCACAUAAGGACAUUGGAAGAAGGAAGAUUCACUCUUCUUCCCCGGCUUACAUUUACUUGCUGGGACAUCUGUUGGAUCUACUAACCUCGUGGGACUGAGCAACUGCUAGAUCCUUGGACUUCCCAUUCACAGCUGACCAUUGUUGGGCAGUUGGACUACAGACUG